GAGUUUGAUCUUGGCUCAGAACGAACGCUGGCGGCGCGCCUAACACAUGCAAGUCGGACGCACUCAGCGAUGGGUGAGUGGCGGACGGGUGAGUAACACGUGGGAACCUGCCCUGGGGUCUGGGAUAGCUGCGGGAAACUGCAGGUAACGCCGGAUGCGCCCUUAGGGGGAAAGUUUACGCCCUGGGAUGGGCCCGCGUCGGAUUAGGUAGUUGGUGGGGUAGUGGCCUACCAAGCCUGCGAUCCGUAGCCGGUCUGAGAGGAUGAUCGGCCACACUGGGACUGAGACACGGCCCAGGCUCCUACGGGAGGCAGCAGUGGGGAAUAUUGGACAAUGGGGGCAACCCUGAUCCAGCCAUGCCGCGUGAGUGAAGAAGGCCUUCGGUUGUAAGACUC
rnacentral:rRNA from 1 species